CUUGAGGGAGGAAAGUGCAGGACACCGAGGGGACCUGUGUCUUGUGUUUCAGAUGGCUGGAGUACAGUGGCACGAUCUCAGCUCACUGAAGCCUUACCUACUGGGCUCAAGCGAUCCUCCCACCUCAGCCUCGCACAUAGCUGGGACUACAGGAUAGAAACUUGAUACCUCCCUGCAAGCUGAGGGAGCAGGCUCCGGCCUUGGCCAGCCCAGAAAGGGGAUCCCACAAUGCAGCGGUGGGCUGAAGUGUUCCUCAAGUGCCGCCAAAGUGGGAGCCCAGGCAGAGGAGGCGCCGAGAGCGAGUGAGGGCUGUGAGGACUGCCAGCACGCUGUCACCUCUCAACACUGCGGUGCUGAUAAUGACACUUCCUGAUAAUUAGGAAUGUGGAGCCAAGAUGGCCGAAUAGGAACAGCUCCGGUCUACAGCUCCCAGCGUGAGCGACGCAGAAGAUGGGUGAUUUCUGCAUUUCCAUCUGAGGUUUUUCCCAUGGUGUUCCCUUUCCAAUGUCUUUCUGGAAGUCACACAUUGACCACUAACAACAGGAGAGAGGACAAAGAAAGGCAGCAAAAGACUAUUUCCAAUGCGAAAUAUGAUCAGGUCCUGCUUCCUGGUUGCUGUGAGGAUUCAAUCUAAUAAUAUAUAUUAGAAUGUUCCUGAACCUCUAAAAGGCUUAAAAAAUCUUGACAGGCUUACUGUUAUUCUAAUAAAUGUUCCAAAUAAUAGAAGCGAUUCUUCUUCCAGUGUGCCCCAAGGAAGCCAAAAGAUUGGACACCCCUGGAAACUCAUCAGUCAGAGGAGAUGUGAGUGAGAGGCCUCAAGUGACCCUUUCUGGAAAUUCUUCCAUAUGAAAACAUGGGAGGAGGGAGGAGCUAUGACCAUUUUCGUGAGCUGAUUCACUCCUGUUUGUACUUUGGAGGAAGAAGCUUGGAAUACAGAGAAGCAUGCAGGCAGCAACCCAGGUUUCCUAUGUAGGAACCACAUGUGCAAAAAUGGCAAAAGAAAGAGAGGAGCAAGAGAUCCGCUUAUGAUAAUCCAACAAAACGAUAACUGGAACAGAAAAGAAAACGACGGCCAAUCAAACCCCUGAGUGACUCCACAUUGUCUUUAAUUCUCCUCUAAUCAAAGAGCAGCACACAGUUGUGAGAGGUGGUCCGAGCCGGGGAGAUUAUGCAGAGAGUGACUCCAUUCAGAGAAAUUUUGGCAUGAUUCCUAACCUCUUAGCCUGAGGGAGAAUUUCUUAAAUUUUAUUUGUGGUUCUCACCUGAGAGAAUUGAUGCCUUCAAGAGAGCACCAGACAGAGGCUAAACAGACAUGCAAUAAAAUUAUCCUCCUUGGAUGGGUCAGGAGCUGGCUGAUAACUUACUCUAAGCCUACAUCAAUCAGGGAGCAGCAGGGGCAUCCACAGUCAAGGAGAGCUGAAGGUGGCAGGGCGUACAGCCGCAGAUCAUCUUAAAUAAAGAUAUAGAAGGCAGACUCUCAUAAAAGAAACCAUAAAUGAAACAAUGAAUAACGACUUCUGUUUAUCAUUCUCUAUUGUUUGCAACUUUCACAAUAAGCGUGUAUUGUUUUCUUAAAUAAAUAGCAAACAAUAAACUCAUAUUGAUAUGGCA
rnacentral:lncRNA from 1 species